GGAGGGUUAGCCUAACUGGUAAGGCGGCGGAUUUGAAAUCCGCUGGGCGUUGAGCCCUUGGGGGUUCGAGUCCCUCACCCUCCG
rnacentral:tRNA from 1 species